CCCCCUGACCUUCACGAGGCGAUGAUGAUGGCUGAGGAAUCGGACUCCACCACCAAGACGACGACGAUGUCCAAAGGGCAAGACCACCCAGAUCACUAAGGAAUUCGUACCCAUGCCCCUUCUUGUACAUACUGCUGGCGAAGAGCUUUGGGGCAGAGAACAAACUGGAGCCAGAGAGAAAAACCCAGUUGGCCAAGAAAGCUAGGACUGCACCUCUAACAGGUUGCUGUUUAUCUCUCUUUUGUUAUUAUUUCAUUAUCAAAGAUGUGGCUUAGGAUUCCAUUGGUGAAGACUAAGGAUGACUGCAUGCAUGCAAGCUCUUAUCGUUUGGAUAGUAGAGAUUUGCAAUCUUGUGUUCCCUCCAUUGAGAUUUCAAGAAAUUGAUUGACGUACAAUUUGGAACGGGUUUCUUAACAGUGGGGUUCAAAAUCCCUUGUUGCUGUAUGGUUGAGUGCUGAGAUGUCCUGGUCGUGUUAGAAAUUUGGCUUCACCUGUUCUCCGAGCACAUUUUGACAACUGUUUCCCGAUGAGAUUGUCGACAUCUGCUUAAUGCUUCUAGGCUGCAUACAAAUUAGAAAAUAAGGUUUGGGGCUGUAUAACAAAGUUUGUAAUGAGAACUCUGUUUAAUAAAAUAAAUAUGAAAUUUUGGGUGUUUGGGUGAAGAGAAACUCUCGGGCAUUGCCUGAGGUUCUCUUCCCUCUUGAGUCUUGUGUGGGAUGGUGUGUUGUGUGUGGCUCUCUUCUUUGUCUCUCAUUUGCCUUCCUCCCAUUUCAAUCUUUUUUUCUUUUCCCGCGCCAAUUUCACACUUUGCAUUUUGUUUCUGCAUUUUCCUCUCCUCUCUCUCUGUAUCCUUUCUUGCUUGACUUUAUUUUCUCUAUUUUCUCUUUUUUGUUAUCUCUUUACUUUUUCUCACUACUUUUUCUUUAUACAUUUUUCCCAUUUUUUCUCUCUCUUUUCUUUCUCAAAAACACUAUCUACUUUCUUUCUAGUAUUCUACUCUGUUUCUUUUUUACUUUCUCUUGCUGCAUUUUUUCUCUCACUUUUUCUUCCAUCUUUCUCUUAUUAAUUUCUCUAUGCACUUUAUUUCUAGUUUGCUUUCAAAAAUUAUUUAUUCCAUAUGCUGUCAAUGCUUAGUUUUGAUGUCCUUAAAAAGUUUAAAUAUAGAAAAGUAACUAUUAAUAUAAUAUAUACAAAAUAAAAUAUAUAAAUAUUAAAAAACCAACCCGUAAACAAGUAAGAAAUUAUGAAGACAAUUUAAGUAAACGAAGCAUGCAAUAAAAAUUUAUAAGAAUUAAAAAGACAGUUUUUUUUUUUUUAAGUGUAAAAUUUUUUGAAAAAGACAACUAAUGAAAAUUUUUUUUUUCAAAUUUAACUAAAAAACAAUGAAAGUAAAAAAAUAAAAAAAUAAAAAAAAAUAAAAAAAACGAAAUCUUAGAAAGUGAAGAAACUAGUAAGCCGACAACUAGAUGUUAAGAAAGCUUAGAAACUAGUAGCUGAAGUAAGAAAUCAAUUUUUGAUAUUGUUUGGAAAUGAAUUUUGGAAAUUUUUAAUAUAUAUUUUUAUUCUUUCAUUAAAAUUUUUUUUAAGAAAUUGAAGAAACUAAAACCCGUAAACUACAUGUUAAGAAAGAUAAAAAAAAGUUAAGAAACUAGUUGCUUAAAUAAGAAAUCAACAAAAUUUUGAUAUUUUUUUUAAAAAAAAAUGAAUAUUGAUAAAUUGUAAUAUAUAUUUUGAUUCUUUCAUUAAAGAAACUUAUAUAUUUUAUUUUAUUUUUGAAGGAAAAAUACUUGUAUAUUUUGAAACAUAUUCUAAUUUAAUAUAUUUUGAAUUUUAAUAUGACAAAAACCUUGGGUAAAUUCUUUUAUUAUAUGUAAUAAUAAUUAACAAAUAAUAUUACCUUAAAAUAUGAAUAGGAAACUAAAAUUUAUCUUGAAAAAACAAUUAUUGGAUAAAAGACUUGUUAUUUUCAAAAUAAAUAAUUAAAUAAAAGACUUGCUAGAUAGUUACUUUUAGUAAUUUGCUAAAUAAAUACAAAUGUACUAUAACCUUUUUUAAUUUAGUCCAGGAGAAUACUUAACGGUAAUUAAUUGAUAUAAUUAAGGACAUCAAGUAGGAUCAUAUAAGAAAGUAUUGAUAUAGCUUGUGGAAUUGUUGACUUUGUGGCAAUUGCCAAUUGUAGACAGCAACUAGAAUAAGGAGAUAGAAUAAUUAGAAAGAGAAUAUAGUGGAAAAAGUGUAGAGAGAAAAAGUAGAAAUAGAAGGUUUAAAAAGAUAAUAAGAGAUUAGAGUCUAUGGAGAAAAUAGUAGAAGCGUAGAGAAAGUGUAGAUGGAGAAAUUAGUGGAAGGUGUAAGACAAAGUGGAGAGAAAUGUAAAUAAGAGAGAAUUUAAAAGAGAGAGUGGAGACAAAAUUUAGAUGGAGAAGAUGGUGCAAGGGAGAAAGUAAAGAGAAGGUACAGUUGAUAAAAGUAGAGAUAGAAUGCAGAAAAGUAAAGAAAUGGAGGAAAAUAGAGAGAAAAAAAUGGGGAGAGAAAGUAAGUAGAUAGAUAAAGAUAGAAGAGAGAAAAAGUACAGAGUUAAAAGGAAGAGAGGGGGAGUUUUCGAUUUUUAUUUUUUUUAAAGGAUAUGUAUGAUUUACAUUAAUCAUUGUAAAUUCAUUUGCAAUAAUUAUUG